rnacentral:misc_RNA from 1 species
AACGCACAUUGCGCCCUUUGGCAUUCCGAAGGGCAUGCCUGUUCGAGCGUCAUUAUCCUCUCUCAAACCUCGUGUUUGGUGUUGGACCGCGUGGGAACCGUUCGCGGCCCCCACUGGUCUCAAAGACAAUGACGGUGUCCGUGGGACCCUCUUCGCACUGAGCUUUCCGGAGCACGCGUCGAGUUUCAAGGCCCCAGGGACCCGGUCACCUUAUCAUUAUUUUAUCAGGUUGACCUCGGAUCAGGUAGGAAUACCCGCUGAACUUAA